CCUGAGAAGCUACAAGCGCCGCCUAAACCGAAAGAUGUCGUGAAACCACCUGUAAUGAAUAUUCCAGUGAUAAAUGAAGUGCCUGGCAGGGCGACUGGCACCGCCGCUUCCUCAGCGCAGAAUUCAGAAGAAGAGCUGUACAACACUUUGCUGACUAAACUAAAGAAAAGUUCAACAUCUAAGCUGAAUAAAAACAAUAAUAAAUAGUGGACGUUUUGAAGAUUUUUACCUUUUAUACAACAUGUUGUAUAUUUGUAAAAGUGAAUUUAUUUUAUACAUAUAUUAAGCAUUUUAUUGUUGUAAU